AUACUUGGAAGUUGCCUCUCUUGGAGUGUUCAGUGAGCCUUCAUCCUCUGAAAGUGGUGUCCUGCCAUUUCUGACCAGAAGUUUCUUCCACUUCGUAGAGACAGCUCCUUUUAGUCUCUCCACAUCAAUAAUGCAUUAAGCUUUAUUUAUGGCUGAGGUCCACUUCUCCAGCUUUUGGUGAUGCUGACUGCUUGUCCCCACAGUGGUGGGCACCUGGAGGCAGCCUGGAAGCACCAAACAGAAGUGGCUGUUGGAAAGAAUAUCCUUGAAUGUCGCCAAGAAGACUCAAGAGCUGAAGGGAGCACCCGAGCUGUGAAACACAGACAGGGCCUGAAAGACAAGUGGGAAACAGUCACCGGAGCGGUCAGCAAAGGCCUCUGUGAGAAGGCUUGUUCUAUUCCUCCGGUCAGGAACGCGGAGCCAACCAGAGCCACAGCAGCAGCACAGCCUCAUUGGUGUGCUCAGUGGUGAGCCCUUCCCUUGGGCUGUGCACCUGCUGAGAUGCCUUAACUACAUCCCAUGUGGGAUUUCAGGGCUUUUUCCAACAAUGACGACAUUCUCUCCAACUUCCUGCAUCUCCUGGGCUAGGAGUUGACUUUCUUGUGGGGAAAAAAAAGUGAUUCCUGUUCCAGAUUUAUGACUUCUGGGAUUUUUUUUUCAGCAUGGGGGUCAAGGCACCAGCUUUCCUAAUUAUGGCCUUCAAAUUAAGUCUGUUUGCAAACAUUCAUUAGUAAAAGCAGCCAGUACCUAUAUCGUGAACAAUGCUACAUGUUUCUGUCAGUAAGUUGCGAGUUUUGCAGCUAAAUACUGAGCAAAAUACGGUGCAGUACCCUGGCAGCACUGACAGCUCAGGGACUUGGAUGGCAUGUUCUCCAUCAGGCACGUUAAUGAACACAUCACUGUUUAUAUGCAGAUUCUGUAAUGAGGAUGUGACUACAUUCCCUGAGCUAUUGGGGUUUUGUAUUGAACUAUGUUCAGUGACUGAAGAAAAGGUCUUCCUCCUCUUCUAAAGAACCUACUUUAUAGCAUUACUGUGAAACCCCAUUUAUCUGUUCUACCAUGCUCUACACAACAGUCGGUGCUGUUUGCUCAGUCAAGGCCUGAUCCUGCAAAAUGCUGAUCUUCAAUUCCUAUUAACUGCUCUGGGGCGUGAAGGUGUUCAACACAUGGGAGGAUGAAACUCAUUAUCCUGCGAGACUAGACAGCAAAUAUCCAAUAAACUAUGGUAUACUAUUAAAUGCUGAAGAGAGGUAAAAUGCAAUUGGAAAAAAAAUGUGUAAUCAGGAAACGGGUUGCAAAGUAAUUACAUGUAUUAUUUUGUGAUCUACUUCAGCUUUAUCCAUUACAUGCUCCAAUUUCAAAUAGCAGCAGAGUUCCUAUAAUAGAGAAAGAGAUUUUGAUACUCCCCAUGGCUGGUUCAUAUAACGUCACCCCUCCAUCCCUUACAGGGCUUUCACUUUACCAUCCAGCAACCCUGAAAUUUUGCUUACUGAGUGAGUUUUCUCACAAAUUCUACCACAGCCUCUCAUCUCUCAUUUUCAAUGUGACAAUGAACCACCAGUGCCAAGUGAACUCAACUAAGAACUAUUUUGAUAGUGUGUACCCCUGUAACCUCUCUGUGGAAAGGUGAACCCCACCCAUCUCUGUCCUAGACAAGAAAAUUAUUUCUGGAACUGCCCUGUUUCAACAGAAAAAUGGACAUGAUAAAAGUAUCAUCCAUGAUUCAGAUAAUAUGAUCAAUAAAAGCUUCAUGGUAAUUCUAGGAGAGCGAAGAUGAUCUUCCCUGAUUCUUAAGACUGUUCUGAAGACUGAAGAGAUCAGAUCUCUCGUUACACAGCUGCUGCAUUUCACAGCUGCCCCUGCACUGAUGCCGGUAACUCAGAGCCCAGCUGAAGUACGCCUUCCAGACAAGCUCUGAUAUAGAGACAUGAGGAGUGCGAUGGUCUGCCUUGAUAAUGAGUGUCAGCUCUUCAUUAUCAUUGGGCAAUUAGCACCAGGUACAGAUUUGAUUUUUCUCAAAGAAAUUAAUUUACAUGAAGAUGAGGAAUGCUAAUGAAACAUCAGCAUUACCAGAACUCACCGUGCUUUAAUCCGUGAUACAUGAGCAUGCCCUGUUCUUUAAGUGGGAAACAGAUACAGAUCUCAUUCACCAUGCUGCUGUUCAUGUUAAUAGACAAUGGCUUUCCAACACUGAAAACAGAUUGUCUUCUCACGAGUAACAUAUACAGGGUAAUUAAUAUACAUAUAGUUAUGUCAACCUCUGCUGGCCACUGACUUAGCUGUGCUGGAGGUGAGCCAGUAGCUGUGCUAUGCAGAAUGCACAGUGCUGAACCACACCUCCAGUGCAGAGACUCACACACCAACUGCAAGCCCAUUUCCUGAGGUCAGAGCUCAGAAAUAAGCAAAUAAGCCUUGUGAGCAAUGUCGGCUGUUAGCUAUUCUUAAAUACAGGCUACCCUGAAGAAAGGAAACAUUCUGGGCACAGAUUGACUGCUUAUUUGCAACCGAACUUCCUCUUGAAGAAUUUGUAUCUUGUAAUUUCUUUUCAGAAAAGGUGACCUGUUACAAGAGGCUACAUGUUCCUGUUGGUGACAGGGGUCUUCUUUCUCUAAUUGUGGUAAAUAGCAACAAUGCUAGCAGGGGAAGAAUACAACGCCAUCUAUACCGACUGGGCAGCUAAACUGGAAACAGUCUCCAGGCUGGGGCCCACACAUAGGUAACCACCUCACGUAAGGGUUCACACGCUUGUCAAGCACAGCACAGCACAGCUCAGGGUCCUUCAGCUCCCACUAUAUUAUGUCUUAACUUUGCUUCACUUAAAUGAAAAUUGUUUGGUCCACAUUACACUGGAAACCACUGGAGGCUGUUGCACUUCCAAAAGGAUGUGAAGAUUUGCUCCAGGGAUGCAUAGAAUGCUGGACGUGCCAUGACACAUUACUGUGACAGAAGGAAGGGGCAGUUCUACAAACGUUACACUUACCCUCAAUAUGAAAGUAAUCAGAAACUUUCAAUGAGCAAGAAGUCAAGAGCAACACUUUCCAAUAAGGUCUGAAAUAGAACUGACACAUGAUUUGCUAGCAGCUGGACUGCUGGGAGCAAAAAGAGGCACCUCAGUCACCACAAAGCCCAGGCAUUUCAUGGCAUGGCACUGAUUUUAAGGAUGAAACUGCAUUCAAGAUACCAACAAGCGAUGCUUGCAUAGGAGCUAACAUAUUAAAUUACAAUUGUUAUGUGUUGGUUGUUGGUAUCUUGUAUGCAAUAGCCUUUCCCGUUCUCCAGGAGCACAUCACCACCCUCUUCACAUGCAGGCACUCACUUCAGGCUGCCCUCACACCAGCUGCAGCUGAGCAACCCAGUGGGAAGAACAUGCUCACACUCACUGCAACUUAUGGAAAUGAAGACCUGUCUAUCUGCACAUGGAAAAUAAGCACUAUUUAUUAAAAACACAAGAAUUUAUCAGAACUCUUCCUUUUUCAGCUACUGUCCAGCCUCCCCAGCAAGUUGGGGGGCAGUGAUAGCCUAGACCCGUCCCCUGCCAUAAGUGGAUAACAGGAAUUGAAGUGACGGUAUUGCCAGUGCCAACAAAAUAUUAAAAACAAAUACACAGAAGGAAGAAUCCUCUUUGGAUGUAUGUUUCGUCACUUGACUGGUUUUCAUUAUCUUGAGCACAGGCCACAAAGAAAGAAGCUCCCAGAGCAUCCAAAAGCAAGGCAGAUCUGUCAAUACUUGCUCAGAGUGAUAUUUAAUCACUUUCACUUCAAUUUUAUGCACAUUUGUUAACUCUUCCAAGCUUAAAGAGGAGAGAUUUACAGUGCAAAAGAUGAAUUUUAUUACAGCCUACGGGCAUCUCAGGCUAUUAAAGAUAUGAAAUAUUGUCUUAGUACUUCCAACAGUGAGCAAAAGCUGACACUGUGAUGGCUACAAGCUUGGAUCUGCUCUGAUUUCCUUUGCAGUCAUCAUGGCAGAUCAUGCUUACUUCUCUUUUUACAUUUUCUUAACGCUUGCCUGGAAACCAGUACCACCCAUGCCAGGUAAAGCAGCAGCUGGUAAUUAGACUCCACUUCUGGCCCAUCCAACAGGGAAAUGGACACGUGUGGCCCCUUCUGUGGCUCUGUGCUGAAAAGCAGAGCUGCGUACACUGCUGCCUUCAGCCAGGGAAUACAUGAGCAGGAACUGAGAGCAACAGCCCUGAAUACUUGCUGAAUACAUGCUCAGCCCAAACCUGACAAAACUGAAAUGUAAUAUCUAAAUGUACAUAAAUUGUUACAUCAUGUUUUCACAUCUCUCCCGUUCUGUUCCCUACUAUCGUGUUGGCAGUGUAUCUAUAACAGACAUACCUACCGUUCUGUAAAAAACUCCCGUGCUCACUGCCUGUGUUGGUGGGCUGUUUGUCUCUGAACUGCAGCCUGAACUGCCUGACUUUUACACAGAUUAUUCAGAACCUCAUGUUUUAAUAAUAGAAUACGAAUAUAUUAAAUUACAGAUAUAACAUGAGUUAAAAGAGUGUUUCUCCAUAAUUGCUUUACAGCCUUCUCAUAAACGACAUCGCAUUUAGCUGUCACACGUCCUUGUCACUCUCAGCAAGGCAGCAACAAUUAGCGGUUCAGCACUGAACACAACCAUAAAUAUCAGUGCUGUUUGAGUCACCAAGAGGUUUGUCAGCAGAUCAAGAAUUACAACAGGGAUUGAGAAGUUGCUAAAGAGAUUGUUUCUUUUUCUCAGUCACUAACUUACCCAGUACCUAAAGGCCUGAUGGCAGCCUGGUGACAAGUACAAAGGUGACAAGGGCUGAUCCUUCCCUGCGUGCUGCCCAUCGAGGAGAUGAUAAUCCCAUGCCGCAUGGCAUUGCCACCCCCCAGCCCUCCAGCUCCUGACAGGAGACCACCAUCCACCCCAUGCUCAGCGCUGCCGUACCUGACAGGCCAGUGAGAAGACAGAGUCCUGCUCGGAUAAUAAAUACCAUGGGAAUGUGUUCUUUCUGUCUGUGUGACUUUUUCAGCCAGCUGUCCUCCAGGAAAGCUCCCAAAGCAUGGUGGAGAAGUGCUUCUGUUAAAUAUGUGGCAAAACAUUACAGUGUGCAAAGCACUCAGCUGAGCAUAUGAAUAACUUUUAGUUCUACUUAAAAGCCUUGCUGAGUUGCAGUAUACCUGACAGCAGCACACUAAGAAGAAUGCAAGUUUUUAUUUAUUUUCUAAUAUAUGCACGGUAUAUAUCUAUUCUGAUGAGCAUGGCCUUCCAGGUUCUGCACAUUAUGCAGAAAUCCCAGCAAGGGCUGCUUGGAGAGUAAAUGCACUUUGGAAAUUAAUAGAACAAUUAUGUAAUAGAACUGUAUAGAUUUAUACAGUCAUCGUGUAUUUCUUAAGCUGCUCUUGUGACAUGCUGUGCAUUACAGCAUGUAUUACUAAUAUACAACUUGUAAUCUCCAUGAGAUGCUGGAAAAUCAAAACCAGAAUGAAAGUGGGUGGUGUCAAUUAUAUUUUAAGUUUGCCUUUGCUUUUUCUCGUUGGUUUUCAUUUUUAAAUUCCUUAGUAAGAUUUUAUCCCCCUGCUUUGCUUUUGGAAAUCAGUUUUCUUCCUUCUUUUGGCCAGAAAUGGGAGGGAUGCCACCGUGAAGUUCUGCAAGCAACCAGGACAAGAACUGCCUGGAGAUGCUGCACACCAGGCAGGGCAGCUCUGCCUCUGCAGUGUUACCCAGCAGGAUCCACAAUCCCUGGAAACUCCUCUUCAUCCCCAUCUCUUUGGGAUAAAUGCAAACUUCUACUAAAAAAGAUCACUUCAGUUCUAUUGGGUAUCAUUCAUUGGUAACACUGCUGAUUUCAUACAGCCCUCAUGUAGCUGCUUCACCCUCUCCUAAUUCAAGCUAAGGAACUCUUAGGAAACAUGAGCUCAGACAUUAAUGAAGGAUGUGCUGCGUGUGACAGCAGCAGUAAAAAUACACGGAGUGGCAGCCAGAGAGAGAGGCCUGGGGCUGGCUGAUCCUCCAGAAGAGCAGGAAUCUCCGAACAGUGUAAUUAGUUCAUUAAGUGCCAUCAGAGAGGACAGAGGGAUGAUGGCCCCGGGAUGCCGAGGUGAGGGCCCGCGGGCGCUGUCCAGAAGGCAGUGAACCCGGCUUCCCAUUUCACUUUCACCAGCUCCAAACCCAAAUGUGUUUUUUAAGUGUGACAAUCGGUACGUUUUGUGUGAAUCGUUAUCCAAGGCACAAGACCUUACACUGUCACUGCAAAUAGGAUCAAAUUAAGCAGCCGCAGACACGGAGCACAAAGCUGAGAAGGAGCUGAAAUGGCAGAAAUGGAAAUAGAGCCAAGUUGCUUAGCAACCAUCCCCUCUCCCCCUGGAUUGUGUGGGCCCUGAGACACCCGCACUGCCAGCAGCUGUUGCUUGUAACGUAAAGGAGCGUUCCCAUAUUGCCAUGUGCCGAGCAGCACCGCACCGUGCUGCACAGGUAACGUCCCAGGCACGGCAGGGCCUGCUGAGUGUGGCCAGAGGGCCCUGCAAUGCCACUGCCCUUUGUUUUCCUAAAAGCAGGGCAGCUCACCUGCCUAGGGUGGUCUUCUCCAGAGAAAAGUCACUGGGAAUGCAGAACAAGAAGGGCUCUUCAUCUGCACCAAUUCCUUCUCCAGCACCAAACUGAAACCUUCACUCGCACUGUACUGAUGCUCCAGAAACCUCAGCCUGGGCAUUCAGGGCCAUUUCUGGAGGAACACCCCAAAGUUUGCUAUGGGUUAUCUGUGGGUGAAAGAGUUCCAUUUUGGAGGUCAUCAGAUUGUUGCAGAAGCUGCGUUUUCUUCAUUUACUAUGCUAAUGAACAGUUUCCUGGAUGGAUGCAGCUUUGGAGGCAUUCAUCUCAGACCCUCCUGUAGAGAUAACACUAAAAUCCACCUGUGUGCUGAAGUGAUGUUUGCCUUUGCAGCCUGAGUGGCCAGCAAUGAGAGCAGCCCUGGGGAGGUGGUGCUCAGCCGGAGGGCAGCCCUGAGGGGAUGCUUUUGCCUGGGCUCUGGUCCUCUCUUUUAAGAAUUUAGAGUUCUGUUCAAUGCUAAUCUCUUCUCAAGUUUUAUUCAUUUGAUUGGAAGUGCUGCAGGGUGCCAGGAGAUAAUGGUAAUAAAUAAUAAAUAAUAAAAUGCACUAGUGUUGGGAAAAGCUUUAAAGUCUGCCAAAGGUAAUUUAAAUAUUUCCAUCAGAUGUUCUUUGAAAGAUGAGUUUUGCUAACAAACACUUUCUGGUGCCAUUAUGGUAUUUGAUUUGGCUUUGCUGAGGCACAUUAGGUUGGAAGAUGCAUGCAAAACAAGGCUGGAAAAAUUGCCCUCCUCAGCCCUGCCUGCACACCGCUCUGCAGAGGAGGCAGGGCUGUCUGCAGCAGGUUGGCAUGCAGAGGAGGUGUUCCUGCUGCUUCACAUAGAAAGUGUUAUCUGUGAGACUCCUGCUAGCAGGGAGAGAGAAAACACAUUUAUGUAGUCAGGAAGAUGGAAGUCUUGCCGUUUUCUUUUUCUCAUGUAUCCAUAUAAAGCAAACAGCUUGGGAAGGAAAACCAACCCAAACCCACAUGCACAAAAACUGUGUAAAAACAUGGAAUAAAGUUUCUGGAACAAAA